UACAACUAGAAGAGUAGAUAUAAAUCAAACUUGAAAAUUGGCUUGAUUGGUAACUUUGUUCUCUUAUAUAAUUCAAUCAAUGAAAUUCAUUCAUCUUCUCUCUCUGCCUCAUUUUGUGUGUGUGUGUGUGUGUGUGUAAAAAUGGCUGUAG
rnacentral:sRNA from 1 species